rnacentral:rRNA from 1 species
AUGAAUCCAGCCUUGAAGAUGGCCAAAGAUGACAUGAAGAAGAAACAGCCACCAGUGGACGGGAAUUCGUCACAUAAAGUGCUCUGUCUCCUUGAGUCCAUGCUGACAAAGCAAUGCAGAAGCAUCCCUCCUACUGUAAUAACUACAUCUGGGCUUUUAAACAUCCUAAAUUUUACAAAUUUGGUAAAGGAUUCUCUACCAGCAGCAAAGAACUGUUUCUCUUUUGAUUGCCCCUUUUUUUUUCUGCCUUUCUACUGUUUGCAAAUGUCCUGCUGUAUUUAUGUGCUGUGUUUUGGCAUCUGGAACGAAGCAUGA